AUUGAACGCUGGCGGCAGGCCUAACACAUGCAAGUCGAGCGGAUGAAGGGAGCUUGCUCCUGGAUUCAGCGGCGGACGGGUGAGUAAUGCCUAGGAAUCUGCCUGGUAGUGGGGGAUAACGUCCGGAAACGGGCGCUAAUACCGCAUACGUCCUGAGGGAGCAAGUGGGGGAUCUUCGGACCUCACGCUAUCAGAUGAGCCUAGGUCGGAUUAGCUAGUUGGUGGGGUAAAGGCCUACCAAGGCGACGAUCCGUAACUGGCCUGAGAGGAUGAUCAGUCACACUGGAACUGAGACACGGUCCAGACUCCUACGGGAGGCAGCAGUGGGGAAUAUUGGACAAUGGGCGAAAGCCUGAUCCAGCCAGGCCGCGUGUGUGAAGAAGGUCUUCGGAUUGUAAAGCACUUUAAGUUGGGAGGAAGGGCAGUAAGUUAAUACCUUGCUGUUUUGACGUUACCAACAGAAUAAGCACCGGCUAACUUCGUG
rnacentral:rRNA from 1 species